CCUAGGGACAGAGCUGUAUAGGCUACAAUAACCACAUCACUGAAGUCCAGUUCUUGGAGCUCAAACCUUCGUCUAUGGACCUCCUCAUGUCUCAGGCUCUCCAGCUGGACCAGCACAUAUUCAGAAACAGAUCCAUAAAAUUCAGCAAUGGACGGAUUUAACCUUUCAUGAUUAAUCAGGCACCUCUGAGGGCCACUAAUGAAGAAAAGUGAAGACUUCUUAAGUCUGCAGAAGGUUUGAAAUGAUGUAAACUGCAUUCCAAGGAGUGGAAAUUCUGGAUGAUUACUGUUCAUUACAUUUCUGUAUGCAGCAUUUAAAUCAGUCAAGUGGUUGGAAAAUCAAUUCCAGCUGAAAUUAAGAGUUUGCCUGGAUGUAAAUCUGGGGUUUACUAUUAUUUUCUAUGUAUAAGACAACUGCUUGGUGUAAUGCAAAUGUACAAAAUGUGUUAAAGUUCUUAUAGAAGUGGUUGCAUGGUGUAUAUGCCUACUAAUAAAUAAAUACAUCUAAGAAUAAUU